GUUUGUCUGAAACCAGCUAGCUUGCAAAAGACUGAACCUUUGGGGGCAAAUCUACUUUAUUGAAUAGGAAAGGGCCACAUUGUGAAUACAUUAGUCGCAUUGGUUAGCACCUACUCCCACAUGUAGCCCUGUGAGAGUUAUUGCUCACUGUGUCUUUCAAACAGUGUUGGAGACCCAAAUACAAAAGCACUGAGCUUGUGUAUGAGAACUAGCAAUUCACUACACAAAAGAAUGAAACUGACCUCUCUAUAAGAUAAAAGGAAACAAAUAAACUUCAAAGGGAUAUGGUGACAUGCGAAUCUUCACAGGACUCUUGUUUUUCUACUAUCUGCUGGACAACUAAGGAGAUCAUCAGGCUGCUGGGAUGAGUGCCAGAUGGUAGGCAGUACACUCUCAGAAAGCUCGACUUUGGUUUGGAACAUGUCUCCCCUCCUUGGAGAUUCUACUUUCUUCUAGAAGGAUACGACUCGGGACCACCCUCUAUUUUGCAAGUGUGUGCACAGUGCGGUGUCUUGGGAAUAGGUUUAUGAACAGAGAGCCUGACAGUAGAAUAAUCAAGUUCCAGAAGCUUAUUGUAGGAGAGCACUUAGACCCUGGGAGCCGAUUCUCCAUUCUGCUUCACAAGUUUACGGCAGUGUAACUCUUCUAUUGCCUUCAGUGAAGUUACACUAGUGUAAAGCUGUUGUGACAGAAUGGAGAAUCAUUCCUUUGGAUUAUAAAUACUUACAAAACCCAUAAGAUAACUAGAUAACAUAAGUAUUCAAGAUCACUUAUGAUGGAGCAGGUCUGGAAGAAACGUGUGUUGCUGCUGUUAAUUAUGCAAAAUAACCCCCCAAAAAAUCACAUUCACCUUGUGCCCGUCUUACUAACGCAGGUUGCAAAUCAGCAUGCGGUUGUUAUUGAGGGAACAGUUCUGUGAUUUAUGUAAUCUAAAAACGUGCACAGGGAUUCCCC